rnacentral:rRNA from 1 species
UACGUAGGGGGCAAGCGUUGUCCGGAUUUAUUGGCGUAAAGAGCGUGUAGGCGGCUUUACAGGUCCGUUGUGAAAACUCGAGGCUCAACCUCGAGACGCCGGUGGAAACCGUAAAGCUAGAGUCCGGAAGAGGAGAGUGGAAUUCCUGGUGUAGCGGUGAAAUGCGCAGAUAUCAGGAGGAACACCCGUGGCGAAAGCGGCUCUCUGGGACGGUACUGACGCUGAGACGCGAAAGCGUGGGGAGCAAACAGG